UACGAAGGGUGCAAGCGUUACUCGGAAUUACUGGGCGUAAAGCGUGCGUAGGCGGUUUGUUAAGUCUGUCGUGAAAGCCCUGGGCUCAACCUGGGAAUGGCGAUGGAUACUGGCAAGCUAGAGUACGGUAGAGGAUGGUGGAAUUCCCGGUGUAGCGGUGAAAUGCGUAGAGAUCGGGAGGAACACCCGUGGCGAAAGCGGCUCACUGGACCAUAACUGACGCUGAUGCACGAAAGCUGGGGGAGCAAACAGG
rnacentral:rRNA from 1 species